CGGCCUCAUACGACUGCCCUGCGCCCCUCGUGGCUUCUGCGGUUCUGCACACGCGCACUUGUCCCCAAACAGCGGCGUCGGCGUCGGCGGCGAUGAGUAUCUCAGGCGAGCUUCCCGGCGAAGGAUCUGACGGCGAGGAGGAGGUCUUCAUCGACGAGGAGGACAUCAUCCACGAGAUAACCAUCGACGAAGAAGAUCUCCCCGACCGCGACGAAGAAGAUGACGACGUCGGCGACGGGAUUGUUGAUUCAGAAGACAUCAUUGAUGAUUCUACGUACUCAUUUCUUGGCCACAAAGAUGAAGUCUUCUCUGUUGCAUGCAGUCCUACAGAUGCAUCACUUGUGGCUUCUGGAGGCAAAGAUGAUAGGGGAUUUCUGUGGAGGAUCGGAUCAGAUGAGGGUGCCUUGGAGCUGACUGGACACAAGGAUACUGUCGGCACAGUGGCUUUCAGUUCAGAUGGGAAUUUGUUGGCUUGUGGAAGUUUUGAUGGGCAAAUAAAUGUGUGGAAUACAGCUGCACGAGCUCUCAAGGGAACCCUUGAGGGUUCUGGGUCAGGUUUUGAGUGGCUUAAAUGGCAUCCUCGGGGACAUUUGAUAAUUGCAGGAUCAGAGGAUUGUAAUGUAUGGAUGUGGAACGCUGACCAUAAUGCCAUUAUAAAUACAUUUGUUGGACAUAGUAACACAGUGACAUGUGGUGAUUUUACUCCAGAUGGUAAACUUAUAUGUACUGGAUCAGAUGAUGCAUCUUUGAGGAUAUGGGACCCAAGAAGUGCACAAAGCAGGCAUGUUAUUCGAGGCCAUGGUUAUCAUACUGAUGGAUUGACAUGCUUAUCAAUGACUUUGGAUUCACAAACGGUUGUUAGUGGCUCCAAGGACAGUUCUGUGCACGCUGUGAAUGUAAACUCGGGCCAGAUCGUUGGCUCACUAGUAGGCCACACCACUUCCAUUGAGUGUGUUGGUAUCUCAUCAAGCUAUGGCUGGGUAGCUACAGGGAGCAUGGAUCAAAAGCUGAUCAUAUGGGACCUCACACACCAGUCCAGCCGAUGCACUUGUGAACAUGAUGAGGGAGUGACAUCACUGGCAUGGUUAGGUUCGUCAAGGUAUGUUGCGUCAGGAUGCAUCGACGGCAAGGUGCGCAUCUGGGACAGCCUCUCUGGGGAUUGUGCCAGGGAGUUCAGUGGGCAUGCAGAUGUAGUACAGUCGAUGGCCAUCACAGCUGACGGCAACGCCAUGGUCUCGGUCUCAUCAGAUGGCUCCGCCCGUGUGUUUGACAUCUCCAUGUUCAAGUGAAGGAAACUGGGACGGAGUAGAUGGUUGCUGUGUAUGCUAAUGCUUGUUCGCGGUGCAUGUGCAUGAAUGAUGAUGGCAUGCCAUGGAGAGAAGUAAUCUGUUCUGCACUUCUGCUUAUAGUGAUAGAGGUCAGGCGGGAAUUCUGUCACGUCAUCACGAGGGACCUGCUAAAAUUCAGGUGCCACUGUAUAUGUUUUAUAUUGCAGCUUUAGUCCGUUGCAGUUUUUAGCAGGCAGUCUGUCAUUUUUGGUUCAGAAAAUAGGAAACUCGAUAGAAAAAAACCCAUAAACCCGAUGAAAUCUGAUUUGCAUUGCGACAUCU